rnacentral:lncRNA from 1 species
CUGAAAUACAUUUUUAUUUAUUUUGAAUCAUUAAGGAUAUUAUUGAUAGAAACCAAAUACACUACAUCAAAGAAAAUUCUUUCAAAACUAGUAACUUAUCAUGAUAUUAUUUACAUACGUUACAAAUAACAUGUUCUAGCCAACCCCGAAAGGAUCUUCUAACUAAUUCAGAGAUCAUUUGGAUUCCGUAAGUAAUGAGGACUUGAAAUAUCACAGAUUGAUCAAUGUUUUCAUCGGCCUCCAGAGAGGCAAUUUGUGACCGAGGAAGUUUGCGUAAAUACUGUUUGAGCAGAAGAAGAAGAAGGAUAUGACCACAGGGGGAUAUCGUCGCACCCUUCAUCAUGUU